rnacentral:tRNA from 1 species
UGUCCCUGUAGCUCAGUAGGAUAGAGCAACUGCCUCCUAAGCAGUAGGUCGGAGGUUCGAAUCCUCUCAGGGACGU